GACCCCAUCUUCACUUUGCUACCAUGGACCUUUUUGUCCAUUGGUGGUCAUUCAUGUGGGGGAAAGUAUUUCAUCCUUAAGAAUCCCAGCAUAACUUCCUGUGUUGAUCUGGGGUUUUAUGCAGGAGACAGCU
rnacentral:snoRNA from 1 species